rnacentral:snoRNA from 1 species
AUUCAAUGAUGAAAUAUCUCAUUCCAGUUCUGCUACUGAUCAUGUUGACGAUACCCAUUUUACCAAACUUCUCUGAGAA